rnacentral:misc_RNA from 1 species
GUCAGUUAGUGCAGCAGAGAAAGCAGUUGGUGAAUGUCAUGAUCCUAAUUCAACAGUUGUAUUGAGUAAGGGCAAAGAAAACACGAUUUGUCGCUUGGCCUUAAUGAACAAACGCGAGAUUCCAGAACUAUUAUUUGGUUGCAUAGCUGCAAUGGUCAAUGCUCUAAUAUUACCUAUUUUCGGGGUACUUCUUUCUAAUGUUAUCAAGACAUUCUAUGAGCCGGC